UAUUAAUCAAUUCUUCUCUUAUAUGAUGUAGCCUAAGGUGCCACAUAUACUUCAUGUUUAUCUCAAUUCUGGAUCUUUCAGAUCCAAUGGCAUUCACUGCUUGCUCAAGUAAGUUCACAGAUGUAUCACCAUGCAAAUGAUAGAGACUGUCUCUAAGAACUAAAUCCAAAUGAUAGUCGCAAAGGAUAGGUGCCCACAGCAACAGUAGCAAUUUUUACUCUAUUGCCGACUUUAAGGAUUACUUCACCUUCUCUCAGUCUUCUAUUUUUCCUUAGACCCUA
rnacentral:lncRNA from 1 species